AGAUACUGACAGCCAGUAUUUGAAUAGGAACCUGUUUGUUUCGGGUGAUCAGGAUUAAUUGUUAAUAUUCUCUUGGAGGGAACUGGGACAACCUCAGCUGACAAGCCUUUGAUUUGGAUGUCAUGGGUGAGUGCAACUUAAGAAAGACAUAUAUUUUCAUCGUGCUGAUGCUUUUUUUUUUUUUUAAGCCACUAGUGAAUUUAUAAGAAGCACAGGCUGUAAACCAACCAAGCAUGUCUACCAAGACUCCCAGAAUCAAAUAGGUUUGCAGGAGCAGGGUGAUAUUUGGUCACCUGUCAGGUACUCUGGGAAGACUCCUCUACCACAAAAUAAGACUAGUUGUUCAUUGUUCGUAGUGACAGUGAUGAAUAUUUUGAAAACUGAAAAUAGAUGUGUGUGUGUGUGUGUGUGUGGUGUGUGUGUGUGUGUAUCUGUGUAUUGAAAUGUCAGGAAAUAAUCUGCAUUACUACGGUGAAAUCAGUGGAUGAGUUAGUCUUUGUUUCUCUAUUUUGUAUAUAUCUCAGAAGACAUGCACGGGAUGCAACCUCUGUCCCAUCUCAUUUGUACUGAGUCCUUUUCUCUUGUCUAAACUGUCACUUGACACUUGAAACAAGCUGGAUUCCUUUGCAUAUUGAGGUAGGCUCUGUGCCUUCUUGCUAAAUGUACGGUUGAAUUAUUUCUUCUCCCCAGCUGGAACUCAUCAACAAGCUGAAAGCAUUCAUCUGGGAACACUUUACACUUCUUACGAGCAUGUCCGAGGAAGUGGGGGCUGAGACUUCACCUUGUAGAAACUCUUGCAGAAUUUUGAUUAAAAGCAGUCUCUGUUCAUAGUGAGAAAAUCUGGAUUUGAAUUCUGAUCCCACCACAUGCGAGCUCCUUGACCUUAGAUAAGUUAACCUGUGUCUCAGUUUCCACCUCUGUUAUCAGGGAUAAAAUUAGUACCUACCCCCUGGAUACCAAAAAAAUUCCUGGGAUUAUAUUGUGCCUUUGAACCAGAAGAG
rnacentral:lncRNA from 10 species